rnacentral:rRNA from 1 species
AUUGAACGCUGGCGGCAUGCCUUACACAUGCAAGUCGAACGGUAACAGGUUAAGCUGACGAGUGGCGAACGGGUGAGUAAUGUAUCGGAACGUGCCCAGUCGUGGGGGAUAACUACUCGAAAGAGUGGCUAAUACCGCAUACGACCUGAGGGUGAAAGCGGGGGACCGUAAGGCCUCGCGCGAUUGGGGCGGCCGAUAUCAGAUUAGCUAGUUGGUGGGGUAAAAGCCCACCAAGGCGACGAUCUGUAGCUGGUCUGAGAGGACGACCAGCCACACUGGGACUGAGCCACGGCCCAGACUCCGACGGGAGGCAGCAGUGGGGAAUUUUGGACAAUGGACGCAAGUCUGAUCCAGCCAUGCCGCGUGCGGGAAGAAGGCCUUCGGGUUGUAAACCGCUUUUGUCAGGGAAGAAACGAGUUUCUCUAAUACAGAGACUUAAUGACGGUACCUGAAGAAUAAGCACCGGCUAACUACGUGCCAGCCGCCGCAGUAAUAC